UAGGGAAUCUUCCGCAAUGGGCGAAAGCCUGACGGAGCAACGCCGCGUGAGUGAUGAAGGUCUUCGGAUCGUAAAACUCUGUUAUUAGGGAAGAACAAAUGUGUAAGUAACUAUGCACGUCUUGACGGUACCUAAUCAGAAAGCCACGGCUAACUACGUGCCAGCAGCCGCGGUAAUACGUAGGUGGCAAGCGUUAUCCGGAAUUAUUGGGCGUAAAGCGCGCGUAGGCGGUUUUUUAAGUCUGAUGUGAAAGCCCACGGCUCAACCGUGGAGGGUCAUUGGAAACUGGAAAACUUGAGUGCAGAAGAGGAAAGUGGAAUUCCAUGUGUAGCGGUGAAAUGCGCAGAGAUAUGGAGGAACACCAGUGGCGAAGGCGACUUUCUGGUUUGUAACUGACGCUGAUGUGCGAAAGCGUGGGGAUCAAACAGG
rnacentral:rRNA from 1 species